UGGGGAGUGAUGUCAAGUCAGCAUGGCCUUUAUAUCCUGGGCUACACACACGCUACAAUGGCCAACACAAUAGGUUGCUAAGCCGCGAGGUGGCGCCAAUCCAUAAAGUUGGUCUCAGUUCAGAUUGUAGGCUGCAACCCGCCUGCAUGAAGAUGGAGUUGCUAGUAACCGCAGGUCAGCUAUACUGCGGUGAAUACGUUCCCGGGGCUU
rnacentral:rRNA from 1 species